UCCCAGUUAACCCGGGCAGUCUCACUAGAGUGCCCACCCUAACGUGAUGGCAACUAAUGAUAAGGGUUGCGCUCGUUGCGGGACUUAACCCAACACCUCACAGCACGAGCUGACGACAGCCAUGCAGCACCUGUGUAGAGACCCUUGCGGGAGAUGUCAUCUCUGACACUGUCCUCUACAUUUCAAACCUGGGUAAGGUUCUUCGCGUUGCAUCGAAUUAAACCACAUGCUCCACUGCUUGUGCGAGCCCCCGUCAAUUCUUUUGAGUUUCACCCUUGCGAGCGUACUCCCCAGGCGGUGCACUUAACGCGUUAGCUACGACACAGCGGGGGUUGAUUCCCACUCCGUCUAGUGCACAUCGUUUAAGGCAAGGACUAC
rnacentral:misc_RNA from 1 species